GUGCUGUGAGCUCGAUGAGUAGGGCGGGACACGUGGUAUCCUGUCUGAAUAUGGGGGGACCAUCCUCCAAGGCUAAAUACUCCUGACUGACCGAUAGUGAACCAGUACCGUGAGGGAAAGGCGAAAAGAACCCCGGCGAGGGGAGUGAAACAGAACCUGAAACCGUGUACGUACAAGCAGUGGGAGCCCCACCACUAAGCCAGUGGUGAACUCCACAUAUGCAUCCUUUGCUGAGGAUACGGUUAACGGAGCGAAAGCGACGUUCAAUCGCAAAAGAAGCAGAGGGGGCUUAGUGGUGGGGUGACUGCGUACCUUUUGUAUAAUGGGUCAGCGACUUAUAUUCUGUAGCAAGGUUAACCGCAUAGGGGAGCCGGAGGGAAACCGAGUCUUAAUUGGGCGUUAAGUUGCAGGGUAUAGACCCGAAACCCGGUGAUCUAGCCAUGGGCAGGUUGAAGGUUGGGUAACACUAACUGGAGGACCGAACCGACUAAUGUUGAAAAAUUAGCGGAUGACCUGUGGCUGGGGGUGAAAGGCCAAUCAAACCGGGAGAUAGCUGGUUCUCCCCGAAAGCUAUUUAGGUAGCGCCUCGUGAAUUCAUCUCCGGGGGUAGAGCACUGUUUCGGCCAGGGGGCCAUCCCGGCUUACCAAUCCGAUGCAAACUGCGAAUACCGGAGAAUGUUAUCACGGGAGACACACGGCGGGUGCUAACGUCCGUCGUGAAGAGGGAAACAACCCAGACCGCCAGCUAAGGUCCCAAAGUCAUGGUUAAGUGGGAAACGAUGUGGGAAGGCCCAGACAGCCAGGAUGUUGGCUUAGAAGCAGCCAUCAUUUAAAGAAAGCGUAAUAGCUCACUGGUCGAGUCGGCCUGCGCGGAAGAUGUAACGGGGCUAAACCAU
rnacentral:rRNA from 1 species